GACGUAGGGCGCGAGCGUUGUCCGGAUUUAUUGGGCGUAAAGAGCUCGUAGGCGGUGUGUCACGUCGGCCGUGAAAACCUGGGGGCUUAACUCUGGGCGUGCGGUCGAUACGGGGCAUCACUAGAGUUCGGCAGGGGAGACUGGAAUUCCUGGUGUAGCGGUGAAAUGCGCAGAUAUCAGGAGGAACACCGGUGGCGAAGGCGGGUCUCUGG
rnacentral:rRNA from 1 species